rnacentral:misc_RNA from 1 species
GAUGAAGAACGCAGCGAAAUGCGAUAAGUAAUGUGAAUUGCAGAAUUCAGUGAAUCAUCGAAUCUUUGAACGCACAUUGCGCCCCCUGGUAUUCCGGGGGGCAUGCCUGUCCGAGCGUCAUUACAACCCUCAAGCUCAGCUUGGUAUUGGGCCCCGCCGACCCGGCGGGCCCUAAAGUCAGUGGCGGUGCCGUCCGGCUCCGAGCGUAGUAAUUCUUCUCGCUCUGGAGGUCCGGUCGUGUGCUCGCCAGCAACCCCCAAUUUUUUUCAGGUUGACCUCGGAUCAGGGAGGGAUACCCGCUGAACUUAAGCAUAUCAAUAAGCGGAGGA